CUACUUAUCUGGGAGAGGACAUAAAAUGAUGGUGAAGGUGGUUUUCCCAGGUAAGUUUUAUCCAUUGCACUCUGAUGUGCUGACCCCGCAGUUUCCCCAAAUGUGUAAACUUGACCAUAUAAUUUGUGGUAGUAGGGCAACUGUGUUUAUACCUUUCCCUG
ensembl:snRNA U1 U1 spliceosomal RNA